CGUGGGUAACCUGCCCAAGAGAUCGGGAUAACACCUGGAAACAGAUGCUAAUACCGGAUAACAACAGAUGAUGCCUAUCAACUGUUUAAAAGAUGGUUCUGCUAUCACUCUUGGAUGGACCUGCGGUGCAUUAGCUAGUUGGUAGGGUAACGGCCUACCAAGGCGAUGACGCAUAGCCGAGUUGAGAGACUGAUCGGCCACAUUGGGACUGAGACACGGCCCAAACUCCUACGGGAGGCAGCAGUC
rnacentral:rRNA from 1 species